UAAACACCAUAGCUAACUGCAUCCAUAAAUUCAAAGCGGCUGUGGAGCUAAGGUGUGGUCUGGGCUCUGCUGACAAUCUGGAAAGACUUGCUGGUUGGGAAGCCUGGAAGACAGAGAGGAUAAGGAAGGAGAGGAGGCAGUGAUGAGGACCUGUGGACUGUGGCCCUGGCCCAUCCCACGACCCAGGGGGACCCGUUUCUCCAACUGGAACCAACAAGCUGCGGCUGAGGCACUGGCAAGGAGGGAUCAGCACUACUGGAUCAUCUGCCUCCCGCAGCCAGUCUUUGGAUGUGAUGGCAGCAAGCAUAGGACCAUUGCUGUCUCCUGGAUGAUCAAUCAGAUGGAGACCAGACCACAAGUCAGGCUGAAGUAGCAAACGGCAAGCAAGCAAAUAAAAGCAGAACGCUCCAGACAAACUGGCUUAGUCCAGUUACUAGCUACUCUUAUC